UACGUAGGGGGCAAGCGUUGUUCGGAAUUACUGGGCGUAAAGCGCACGUAGGCGGCUUUCUAAGUCGGGGGUGAAAUCCUGGAGCUCAACUCCAGAACUGCCUUCGAUACUGGAAAGCUCGAGUCCGGGAGAGGUGAGUGGAACUGCGAGUGUAGAGGUGAAAUUCGUAGAUAUUCGCAAGAACACCAGUGGCGAAGGCGGCUCACUGGCCCGGUACUGACGCUGAGGUGCGAAAGCGUGGGGAGCAAACAGG
rnacentral:rRNA from 1 species